GGCCCGCUGGCCAAAUGGUAAGGCAUCUGAUUUCGGUCCAGUUCUCAGAAGAUUGUGCGUUCGAGCCGCACGUGGGUCG
rnacentral:tRNA from 1 species